rnacentral:tRNA from 1 species
GGGCCUGUAGCUCAGCUGGUUAGAGCGCACGCCUGAUAAGCGUCGGUGGUUCGAGUCCACUCAGGCCCACCA